rnacentral:rRNA from 1 species
UACAGAGGUCCCAAGCGUUGUUCGGAUUCACUGGGCGUAAAGGGUGCGUAGGCGGUCGGGUAAGUCUGAUGUGAAAUCUCACAGCUUAACUGUGAAACUGCAUUGGAUACUAUCCGGCUCGAGGAAUGGAGGGGAGACUGGAAUACUUGGUGUAGCAGUGAAAUGCGUAGAUAUCAAGUGGAACACCAGUGGCGAAGGCGGCCUUCUGGACGGUGACUGACGCUGAGACGCGAAAGCGUGGGGAGCAAACAGG